rnacentral:rRNA from 1 species
UACGUAGGGUCCAAGCGUUAUCCGGAUUUACUGGGUGUAAAGGGCGAGUAGACGGCAAAGCAAGUCAGAUGUGAAAACUUAGAGCUCAACUUUAAGACUGCAUCUGAAACUGUUUAGCUAGAGUGCAGAAGAGGUAAGUGGAAUUCCUAGUGUAGCGGUGAAAUGCGUAGAUAUUGGGAGGAACACCAGUGGCGAAGGCGACUACCUGGACGAUAACUGACGCUGAGGCGCGAAAGCCAGGGGAGCAAACGGG